UAUUGCCUGUAGCUCUUGGUCUAGGGUGGCAUAUCAUAGGGGCUGUCAUGAUGCAGGUCCUAUUUGGGGAACGAUAGUGAGAUUUCACUCGCUAUAUCACCCCUGCUAUGUCUUGAAGAAACUAUCUAGCGGCAAAUGUCCUGUCCCUCUGGUUCUUAUACUCUUACCACUCCUCUACCAAAAUGUUCCUGAGUCUUAGAUAUAGGAGUUGUCCUGUACACGUACUAUUUGGAAUCUCACAAUUUGUCCUCUGACCUUCGUAUGCAAACUGAGGCAUUAUCAGUGGUGCCUCCAAAGAGAAUACGUAUGAAGAUUUGUAUUUAAUCUUCAAUUAGGUAGAUUAUUUCAUGUUGCUUUGGGUCCCCUUGUCUGUAAAUGUUCUGUUUCUCCUGUUUCUCCAUGUCUUUCUGUGGUUUAAUUUCCCUUCUAGGGAAGAUCCUUCAGCAGCCACCCCAUCAUCCUGUCCAUUAGAUCUAGUCACAUGUACUAAGUCCAUGCACUUUUACCCACAUCAAGCAAGGAUGCUGCAUAAGCAAUUCCAUGAGUUGACAGACAUUUUCUGUCCCCCUAGAAUUACCUGAACGUGAUGGCAAUGUGUCUUCACCAGAGAACCAGGAAAAAACAUCAGUGAAGGUGGAGUCUAAAAAUAGCAGGCGCAAAAUACCUGAACAUGAUGACAGUGUGUCUUUAUCAAAGGAGCAGAAACCACCAGAGCAAGAAAUGGAGGUGGAGUGUGGAAACCUCACAGAUAGUAUGUAUUAUGGAAUCUCUUUCAAGACACAUGUUAGAUAAGAAUUAUUUAAAUGCUCACUGUAUUUUCUACGGUAAACCAAUGUGAUAUUAGACUCCAAUUGGGAGUGAAAAUUAAAAGUUUAAGAGGAAAAAGCAAUGCCCUAAGUAGCCAGUAAUACCUAUGUGUCUGCAGUCAUUACAUUCAGCUCUGAUAACUUUAGUUAUUUUGGCAUUUUUGUGCAGGCAGUGUCUAAAAAGAUUGUUUUCCAAAAUAGUUAUCCUUAUAAUACAAUCCACUUUCCAGUGACAAAUUUUUCAAUUCAAAAGGCAAGAUAUAUAUUUUUAAUUUAUUUUCCAUUUUAUAUAUCAAUCCCAGUUCCCUUCUCUCCAUCCACUCCUCAGAUAGAGUAGGCCUUCCUUGGAGGAGUAAACAAAGUCUGGCAUACCAAGUUAAGGCAGGAUCAAGCCUCUCCCCACUGUAUCAAGGAUAAACAAGGUGUCCCAUCUUAAGGAGCGGGCUCGAAAAAUCCAGUUCAUGCUCCUAGGAUAAGUUCUGGUACCACUGCCAGAACUCCCCCCUCCCCAGCCCCACCAGAUCAAGUUUUACCUACAAAAAAAGUGUUCAAACCUCACCAUACAGAUGUGUGACAGAUGUGUUUUCUUGUGCAGCUUUCUGAAGAAUCUUAGACCAAAUGUAAGGUAAUCAGUCUUCGUAGUUAUAGAGAUCAGGAAGCACUUCCUACUUCAUCAAGAGCUCAAGAAUCCCUAUGUGAGAGUUACAGGUGCCCAGCAUCUGCCCGCAAUAAUCCAGCCCUAGGGAGAUGCCAGACGAUGUUGAGCCCCACAGUGGGCAGAAGGCAAGGGCAUUGCUCUUUACCUGCCUGUGAAUGCUCACAAGUACUAUAGAUGGAAAAUCCAUAAGUUUGGUCAGAUCAGAGAGAUUGACUAUAUGAGACAUUACAUUGAAAAAUAGGUUGGAUAUAUGUGAUAACUGGAUUUAUGGUAGAGACAACCCGUUCCAGUAUGAACCGGUGGAAAGGCUUAACAGAUUAGACAACAUUAACAUAAGAGCCAUACAAUUUAUGGGCAAAGUCCACUAAGAACUCCAGACACCUAGUGACUUUUGAGCUUCACUGGGCCUUUAUUUUGGAUACAUACAUGCAUAUAUAUAUAUAUAUAUAUAUGCUGGAGUUUGUAUUCCAAUAUUACUGCUAUGACUCACCAGUCUCCAUGAUGUCUGCUAAGUCUGAGCACUCAUUGGAACGAUAUGUGCAGUAGUGAGUUACUCAGGCAGAGUAUGGCUGGGUAUCAUCAUUUUGAAGAUGGUGGCUGUGUUUGAGUACCCUCACAGUCAGGAUUUGUCAGAGAGGGUCUAUGUGAGCAGGAAUGUAUAGACCAGUUGGUUUAGUGUGUUCCUAGC